rnacentral:rRNA from 1 species
CCUACGGGGGGCAGCAGUGGGGAAUAUUGCACAAUGGGGGAAACCCUGAUGCAGCGACGCCGCGUGAAGGAAGAAGUAUUUCGGUAUGUAAACUUCUAUCAGCAGGGAAGAAAAUGACGGUACCUGACUAAGAAGCCCCGGCUAACUACGUGCCAGCAGCCGCGGUACUACGGAGGGGGCCAGCGUUAUCCGGAUUUACUGGGGGUAAAGGGAGCGUAGGCGGGAAUGCAAGUCAGAAGUGAAAACCCGGGGCUCAACUCCGGGACUGCUUUUGAAACUGUGUUGCUAGAUUGCAGGAGAGGUAAGUGGAAUGCGUAGUGUAGCGGUGAAAUGCGUAGAUAUUAGGAGGAACACCAGUGGCGAAGGCAGCUUACUGGACUGUAAAUGACGCUGAGGCUCGAAAGCGUGGGGAGCAAACAGGAUUAGAUACCCGUGUAGUC